rnacentral:rRNA from 1 species
AAAUUGAAGAGUUUGAUCAUGGCUCAGAUUGAACGCUGGCGGCAGGCCUAACACAUGCAAGUCGAACGGUAACAGGAAUCAGCUUGCUGAUUCGCUGACGAGUGGCGGACGGGUGAGUAAUGUCUGGGAAACUGCCUGAUGGAGGGGGAUAACUACUGGAAACGGUAGCUAAUACCGCAUAACGUCGCAAGACCAAAGAGGGGGACCUUCGGGCCUCUUGCCAUCGGAUGUGCCCAGAUGGGAUUAGCUAGUAGGUGGGGUAACGGCUCACCUAGGCGA